rnacentral:misc_RNA from 1 species
UUGAUUGGUCGAAAGACCUUAUCAGAUUCUACCACCUCUGUGAAACCGUUGACCUCCGGGUUAAUAAUCAAACAUCAGUGUAACGAACGUAAGAGUAUCUUAAUUAAACA